rnacentral:rRNA from 1 species
CGGACGGGUGAGUAACGCGUGGAUAACCUGCCUCACACUGGGGGAUAACAGUUAGAAAUGACUGCUAAUACCGCAUAAGCGCACAGUACCGCAUGGUACAGUGUGAAAAACUCCGGUGGUGUGAGAUGGAUCCGCGUCUGGUUAGCCAGUUGGCGGGGUAACGGCCCACCAAAGCGACGAUCAGUAGCCGACCUGAGAGGGUGACCGGCCACAUUGGGACUGAGACACGGCCCAA